rnacentral:rRNA from 2 species
CUUUCAACAACGGAUCUCUUGGUUCUGGCAUCGAUGAAGAACGCAGCGAAAUGCGAUAAGUAAUGUGAAUUGCAGAAUUCAGUGAAUCAUCGAAUCUUUGAACGCACAUUGCGCCCCCUGGCAUUCCGGGGGGCAUGCCUGUUCGAGCGUU